UGUUUUUCCCUGUUGAAGCAUCUGCCUUUUUGAAACGAAGUUUCUAGAACUAUCUCAGCACAGGCCACAAAACAAUCAAGAAAGUGGUCAAACGAACAAAAAUGACUCGGAGGAAGACAGAAAUAUUCGAUGAUCAAUGAAGGAACUGAACACACAUUCUUGGAGUCGUUGGGAUUAGCAGCCAAAGUCAAUUAACCUUCGCAACAAAGGGCAGGCUUUUCACCAGGCGAUGCAGAACACAGGCGAAAGCGCGGCAAAUGGAUUUUACUUGAAUAUUUACUUGAUUGUUUUGUUGGUGUACUUAUUAUAACAUUCAUUUGGCAAGGGGAGGAUGUGGCAUCCUAAACAUUAUCCUAAAUUAGGUAGUCAGUGUGCGUCGACGGAUGACGACUCUGGUGGAUGAAGCCGAACAGUAAAGAUGGAGCUUGGCUCCCGUUUGAUAAGUGCAAUUAAAA